rnacentral:rRNA from 1 species
GACGUAGGGCGCGAGCGUUGUCCGGAUUUAUUGGGCGUAAAGAGCUCGUAGGCGGCUUGUCGCGUCGUCCGUGAAAACUUGGGGCUCAACCCCAAGCUUGCGGUCGAUACGGGCAGGCUCGAGUUCGGUAGGGGAGACUGGAAUUCCGUGUGAGCGGUGAAAUGCGUAGAUAUCAGGAGAACACCAGUGGCGAAAGCAGGCUUCUGGGACGGA